rnacentral:rRNA from 1 species
CUCGUAGGCGGUUUGUCGCGUCGGGAGUGAAAACCUCGGGCUUAACUCGGGGCUUGCUUUCGAUACGGGCAGACUGGAGGUAUGCAGGGGAGAACGGAAUUCCUGGUGUAGCGGUGAAAUGCGCAGAUAUCAGGAGGAACACCGGUGGCGAAGGCGGUUCUCUGGGCAUGACCUGACGCUGAGGAGCGAAAGUGUGGGGAGCGAAC